rnacentral:lncRNA from 1 species
UGGUUAACACAUACCAACCCUUCCCCUAGGAGUAUGCGUUUAGAACUUUGUUUUGAUUACUAAUAAAAACUUUCGCAACAAGUAUGUGAGUUCUUCAUGACUAAUGUGAGCCCAUGGUAUAGAUGCACUUUCACCUUCCACCAUUGCUAGCCUCUCUAGUGUCGCACAAUUCUCGCCGGUACACAAACCCACCAUAUUCCUUCCUCAAAACAGCCACCAUACCUACCUACUAUGGCAUUUUCAUAGACAUUCCGAGAGAUAUUGCCAUGCAAAUCCGACCGUUCCGUCUCAUGACUUGUGCCGUCACUCUCAUAUUGCCAUUGGAUGACCGUAAGAUAGCUAGCGAUAUGUUUCAACGUCAUACGCCAAGCUAGAUCGUUGCACAUCCCGGUACAACGCCGGAGGCAUUUCCUAUAGAGUCAUCAUCAUUUUGAGCUUUGAGCUGUGAGUAAAUAAAAGUGUGAUGAUCAUCAUUAUUAGAGCAUUGUCCCACAUGAGGAAAUAAAAAAAAUUAAAAUAAAAAAAGGAGGCCAAAGAGCCCAAAAAUAAAAAAAGGAGAAAAGAAAAAAAAGAGAAAAAAGAGGCGUGAGAGGCUAAAUAAAAAAAGAGAGAAAAAGAGAGAAGGUAUAAUGCUACUAUCUUUUUCCACACUUGUGCUUCAUAAUAGCACCAUGUUCUUCAUGAUUGAGAUCUUCUUGCUUUGUCACCACCAUAUGCUAGUGGGAAUCUUCAUUAUAUAACUUGGCUUGUAUAUUCGGAUGAUGGGCUUCCUCAAAAUUGCCCUAGGUCUUCGUGAGCAAGCAAGUUGGAUGCACACCCACUAGUUUUCCUUUUGAGCUUUCACAUACUUAUAGCUCUAGUGCAUCCCUUGUAUGGAAAUCCCUACUCAUUCACAUUGAUAUCUAUUAAUGGGCAUCUCCAUAGCCCUUUGAUACGCCGAGUCAAUGUGACCAUCUUCUCCUUUUUUGUCUCACAACCACCACCACACUCUAUUCCACCUAUAGUGCUAUAUCCAUGGCUCACGCUCAUGUAUUGCGUAAUAGUUAUAAAAAAGUUUGAGAAAGUAAGAGUGCGAAAACAAUUACUUGGCCAAUACCAGGGUUGUGCAUGAUUUACAUUAGUUGUGUGAGGACGAUGGAGCAUAGCCAGACUAUAUGAUUUUGUAGGGAUAACUUUCUUUGGCCUUGUUAUUUUGAAAGUUCAUGAUUACUUUGCUAGUUUGCUUGAAGUAUUAUUGUUUUCAUGUCAAUAGCAAACUAUUGUUUCGAAUCUUACGGAUCUGAACAUUCAUGUCACGUGAAAGAAGUUGCAAAUGACAACUAUGCUAGGUAGCAUUCCACAUCAAAAAUUCAUUCUUUAUCACUUCCCUACUCGAGGACGAGAAGGAGUAAAGCUUGGCAAUGCUUCAUACGUCUCCAACGUAUCUAUAAUUUUUGAUGGUUUCAUGCUAUUAUCUUGUCAAACUUUGGACGUUUUGCAUGCCUUUUAUAUAUAUUUUGGGACUAACUUAUUAACUCAGUGCCAAGUGCCAGUUCCUGUUUUUCCAUGUUUUUGACCCCUUUCAGAGAAGAAUUUGAAACAGAGUCCAAACGGAAUAAAAUCCCCGAAAAGAUUUUGUCCGUAACAGAAGAAGAUCAGGAGACUUGAGAGCCAAGGCAGGGGGUCCCCAGGGGCCCCAAAAGCCCCCUCCCCUCGGCCAGGGGGAGGACGCGUCCACCAGGCUUGUGGGCCCCCUGGACCUCCUCUGCCCUAUGUUUUGCGUCUAUAUAUUCCCAUAAAUUCCAUAAAAAAUCAGGAGAUCAUCAAAAGUACUUUUCCGCCGCCGCGAGCUUCUGUCUCCGCAAGAUCCCAUCUAGGGCACGUUCUGGUGCCCUGCCGGAGGGGGGAUUCGGAUACGGAGGGCUUCUUUAUCAACACCAUGAUCUCUCGGAUGAUGCGUGAGUAGUUCACCAUAUACCUACGGGUCCAUAGCUAGUAACUAGAUGGCUUCUCUCUCUUGGAUCUUCAAUACAAAGUUCUCCAUGAUCUUCAUGGAGAUCUAUCCGAUGUAAUCUUCUUUUGCGGUGUGUUUGUUGAGAUCCGAUGAAUUGUGGAUUUAUGAUCAGAUUUUCUAUGAGUCUUAUUUGAGUUUCUUCUGAUCUCUCUUAUGCAUGAUUUCAUAUCCUUGUAAUUCCCUUCGAGUUGUGGGUUUUGUUUGGGCAACUUGAUCUAUGAUUCUUGCAAUGGGAGAAGUGCUUGGUUUUGGGUUCAUACCGUACGGUGACCUCACCCAGUGACAGAAGGGGUAGCGAGGCACGCAUCAUGUUGUUGCCAUCAAGGGUAAAAAGAUGGGGUUUUCAUCAUUGGUUUGAGACUAUCCCUCUACAUCAUGUCAUCUUGCUUAAGGCGUUACUCUGUUCGUCAUGAACUCAAUACACUUGAUGCAUGCUGGAUAGCGGUCGAUGUGUGGAGUAAUAGUAGUAGAUGCAGAAAGUAUCGGUCUACUUGUCUCGGACGUGAUGCCUAUAUGUAUGAUCAUUGCCUUAGAUAUCGUCAUGACUUUGCGCGGUUCUAUCAAUUGCUCGACAGUAAUUUGUUCACCCACCCUGAUAUUUGCUAUUUUGAGAGAAGCCUCUAGUGAGCAAUAUGGCCCCCGGGUCUACUCCCCACCAUAUUUCAGCAUGACACUUUUUACUUCGUUGCACUUUUCGCCUUGAGAUCUCACUUCGCAAACAAUCUUGAAGGGAUUGACAACCCCUUUAAAGCGUUGGGUGCAAUCUCUUUUGUGUUUGCGCAGGUACUCUGGACUUGACGAGAUUCUCCUACUAGAUUGAUACCUUGGUUCUCAAACUGAGGGAAAUACUUACUGCUCCUGUGCUGCAUCACCCUUUCCUCUUCAAGGGAAAAACCAACGCAAGCCCAGUCUCCGUCAACGUGUCAGUAUCUGGCGUUGUUCUCUGUUGCCGUAGCAAUACCCAGUGCACCACUUGACCAAAAGUGGCCACCUAACUCAUCAUCACCCUGGGGCAUUAGUGGCACCCGAUGGGGUUUUCAUAACCUUUGAUUUAUGUCAUCAACAUUUUCGUGCUAAUACUACUUCUAGCUUUACUUGUCGACAUGAAAUUACCAUGACCCUCAUAGGUGGUACGAUCAAGCUCAAUGCAUGUGCUCCGGAGGAGCCAUCGGUAACAUCACAUCAAUGAUUUACCGGCACUUAUGAUCAUAUGCAACGAAAAUAUUUGCUACACUAGCAUGCAAUAUAACAUAUGCUCAGUCAUGGUCAAAGGGUUGCUUGCCUUGGUCAGCUAGGUAUCCGGGUUCUUCGAGGUCUUCCGCUCCGACUCCUUCAUCACACGGGUUUUCUAUCGUCGUAAAAAUAAAAAAAAUAAGUAGCUCACUCUCGAACAAAUCACAAAGUCAUUUUAAAAAUGUUGGUUAUUUUUGAUAAAUCUAGGUUGUUAUUUUAAAAAUAUUUGCCUCUGAUUCUAAUGAAGGAAUAUUUUUAAAAUCAACUAAAGAGAAGCAAAACUAUUCCAAAUUAAUCCUUUUUAUUUUUAUAAAACGGAAUAAUUGCUGCAAAAAUUCAACCAAUGGUUCUAUUAAAUACUACACAUUUUUAGAAGAUUAAUAGUGGAAAAAUCAUAUUUUUACACUCGUUAAAUCAUUUUAUAAAAAUAUUUGAAAGUAAAGUUUUUAAAUAAAAGAAAAAGGGUUACAGUCCCUGGCCUGGCUUGGCCUGGGACUGGGCCGGCCGAAAGGCCAGCCAGCUAGCCUGCCCAGGCGCGCACGCCGUCAGGUUUGAACCUGACGCGCGGGCCCGUGCGGUCAGCGGCUGCGGGCAGAGAGGGAGAGAGAGAUGGGCCAUCGAAAGGUGGGGCACACAUGUCGGGGUCAUGUCCUACCUCUGGCCAGAGAGGAGGAGGAGCAUGCUGGCGUGGCUACCGACGUCCUCGGGCCCCAACGAAGACGGAAAUGGGCCCGACUCGUCGUCGCCUACCUGAUGGUGGUCGAGACAACGACGGAGGGGCUCAGGUUCACCGGCGAGGAGGAAGCCGUGGCGGAGGAGUUUCGGGCGAAGGUGGAGGGGGUAGCUAGGGGCACGGAUUAGCUUGGGAAAGAUGGGGGAAAGAUCCCUGGUGUCAAGGGGAGUGGCUUGGUGGGUAGAGGGACGCAUGAGCGAACGUGUAGCCGGAGAUCGAUCGGAGCUCCGAGGUGGAGGGGCCUCGGUUGAUCUCGAGCACCGGCGCUCUGCUGGCUUGCUGGGUGUCUAGGGAGGUACUAGAGGUGGCUGCGAUAAUGCUUGAGGGGUGCUGGAGUGAGGGGGAGGGCUAUUUAUAGGCCCACAAUGGUGAGCGGAUUCGGGAGCGUCGAUGACUCACCAUGGCGCGCAUGGGGGUGCAGAGAGGAGAUGGGGUCGAAACCACGGUCUCAGGACGUGGUUUUGGACUGCCAGAACUUACUGUGGGGAAGGAAGAGAGAGGGGAGACAAGCAUUAGUGGCCGCGCAACUCUGGCUGGUUCUGGUGCGCGCGAACACGCGUCGCACCAGCUCCAAGCGCGGGAGAGGAGGGGCCGUGAUGGUCGCCUGAUGCAGAGGGGCUGUCAGGGAAGAAGUUGGACACCUCGGGGGAGGCUGGAACUGGCCGAGGGCGUUGCCCCCACCUUGGAGUUCUCUGUAGCGUGCCCAGAGCAUAGUUUUGGCAUGCCACGGCAUGCUGGCACGCUCUGGGUGCUUUGGACGUGUCUAGCAUGUCGUGGGCACUAGUCGGGAUGAGGCUAGCCAUUGAAGUCCCGUGGGACCUUCGGCUGGUCAAGGGAGACAAGAGAAACAGGUGCUGUCAGCCUUGAGCUGAAGCUUAGAAUGGGCAUUUUGUCAUUUCUACUUUGAACCAGAGAGGGGCCAGUUGAUUGGGGCUGUGCAUUGAUACUGUCCACCUAAUCUGAGAGUUAAAGGGGCUUUUAACCAUCUGUCAGAAGGUGCUCGACAGUGGUUUGGGGUGGUUGCACCCCACCAGUGGUUCUGCAACUUAACAUGAUUGGGUUUGGUGCUAAAACAUGGGGUUUCACCAAGUUUGAGAUCAAUUGGACAAGUUUAGCUUUGUAAACUUGAAAACUUCACCAUUUGACCAAAUCUGUUCCUUCUAAAUAGAGUGUGGGCAAAUUAAGUCCCACAAAUCCCAUUUUUGGUGUGGAACCCUCAUUUGAGGUAUUAGGCACUGCUGCAAAGUUUGAACUCCAUUGGACAAACUUUGCUAUGUAGAGUUGCUCUAACUUCAAUAUGGACAGAAGGGGUUUUGCAGUUAUUUGGGGUACCUAAUCACCUUAGAUAAAGGUGAAACUUUAUGUGGACACCAAAUAUGGCUUAGGGGUACCACUAGAAUUUUCUAGAAAUUUAUUAAGAAUAUUUCCUUUGGAAAUAUUUCAAAAGGUCAAAACAGAUAGAAAUGAUCUUCACGGUUUUACUCAAAUAAUAUUAAUAUAAAUAGGGGUUAAAAAUAUUAUGUAUGGAAAAUAUAUGUCCUUCGGAUCAUCUCCAAAUUUAAUCAGAUUUUUCUAAGGGAGAAAAGUAUUUUUCCAUAUAGGAAUACCAUUUCUGGCCUCAGAAAUGGACAUGCAAAUAAAUUAAGAAAACAUUGGUGCACUAAAAUAGAGCUAGAAUCAGAUCACCAACUUUGGGUGAGAACAGUCCUUGCCAUCAAGGGCAUGUAGUGGAACUCAAACUAGGGUUUUACCUUAACCAGAAAUCAGAAAAGGGUUUUGGAAAUUAUUUGAUCUUGAGAAAUGUGGUUUUUAUCAUUACAUGAUCAAGCGUACAAGCAUACGAUGACAAUUAUGGCACUCACAACAUUAGUUUUGAAAAAGUUUUAAUAAUCUCUGAUUUUUGAAUUAUAGAAAAAGUGGUAGUGAAAACAGGGUGUGACAAACCUAUCCCCCUUACAAGAAUCUCGUCCCCGAGAUUCCUAAGCUAGUUGCUAAAAAGGUACGGAAACUCAGAUCGAAGAUAGUCUUCACGCUCCCAUGUUGCUUCUACUUCAGUGUGGUUGCUCGACUGUACCUUGAAAUACUUGAUGGUGCGGCUUCUGGUGCAACGCUCUGCUUCAUCGAGGAUGCGGAUCGGCUUCUUGCGGUAGGUGAGAUCUGGCUGAAGGUCGAUGGCCUCAUGGUCAAUGUCCUUGUCAAGAUGGGAAAGGUUUGGCGCUUGAAGACACUUUCGAAGUUGUGACACGUGGAAGACAUUGUGCACACCUGAAAGUUCCGGAGGUAGCUCCAACUGGUAAGCAACUUCUCCACAUCUUGCCGUGAUCUUAAAAGGUCCAAUGAACCUUGGAGCAAGUUUCCCUUUAACGUGGAAACGGUUGGUUCCCUUGAGAGGUGUGACACGGAGGUACACCUGGUCUUCAAGGUUAAAUUCCAAUUCUCUGCAGUGAGAAUCCGCAUAGCUCUUUUGUCGCGACUUGGCUGCUUUUAGGUUUUCUCGGACAAGGUGCACCUUCUCUUCUGCCUCUUGCAAACCUUCCAGCCCGAAAAUCAACCCUUCACCGAUUUCGGACCAGUUGAGCAGGGUGCGGCACUUUCAUCCGUACAACACUUCAAAUGGGGCCAUCUGGAGACUGGACUGGUACCUGUUGUUGUACGAGAACUCAGCAAACGACAAACAGUCUUCCCAUUUGGCACCAUGUGCCAAGACACAAGCGCGGAGCAUAUCUUCGAGUAUCUGGUUUACUCUCUCCGUUUGUCCGCCCGUUUGCGGGUGGAAAGCGGUGCUGAAAGAGAGCUUGUUUCCGAGGGCUUCUUGGAACUUCUUCCAGAAUCUUGAGGUGAAAUGUGUGCCUCGGUCAGAUACAAUCUCCUUGGGAACUCCAUGAAGGCUCACAAUAUGAUGGAUACACACACUAGCCAAUUGGUUUCCAUCAUAAGUGGUGUUUCCUGGAAUGAAAUGGGCCACCUUGGUCAGAUGGGCGACAAUGACCCGUAUGGAGUUAUGUCCUUUGCUUGACCUGGGCAAUCCAGUGAUGAACUCCAUAACGAACUUGCCCCACUUCCAUUCUGGCACUUGGAGAGGUUGUAGCAGUCCAGCAGCUCGCUAAUGCUCAGCCUUGACCCGCUGACACACAUCGCAUUUGGCAACAUAAGACAUUAUUUCCCUCUUCAUGCCACGCCACCAGAAUUUUUCUCGGAGAUCUUGAUACAUUUUGGUACCACCGGGGUGAAUAGGGUAGGGUGUAUCAUGUGCUUCCCGCAGGAUCAAAUCCUUGAGGUCUGCCUUAUUGGGUACACACAAACGUUUCCCAAACCACACUACUCCUUGUUCAUCCACUGAUAAUUCUGGGGCCUUGCCUUCUUGAAUCUUCUUCUUAAUGCCUUCAAUGCUCUUGUGCCCCUUUUGGGCCUCGUUGAUAUCAUCAGCGAGCGUUGGUUUGACUUCGAGGUUAGCUAGGAAUCCUGAUUCCACUAGCCCUAACUGCAACCAUCUUCGUUGCCUCAUAUUCAAUUCCCUUUGAGUGAAGAUAUACUUCAGACUUUUGUGGUCGGUGUAAAUUUCACAUCGCUUCCCCAUAAAGUAAUGUCACCAUGUCUUUAAAGCAUGCACUACGGCUGCUAACUCGAGAUCAUGGGUGGCAUAAUUCUCCUCUUGCGGGCGCAGUUGCCGUGACAGAUACGCCACGACCCUGUCGUCUUGCAUUAGGACUCCACCGAGCCCGGUUCUGGAGGCAUCACAAUAUAUCACAAACUCCAUGCUGAUAUCUGGAGUAGCCACUACCGGGGCGGCAGUUAACCUCUUCUUCAAUCCUUGGAAGCUUGCUUCACACUCCGGCAUCCAUUCGAACUUCUUGCCUUUCUUCAAGAGCUGGGUCAAGCGAUGCGGGAGAAUCCUUCUACAAACUUGCGAUAAUAUCCCGCGAGUCCGAGGAAGCUUCUGACUUCCUUCACAUCAAUUGGCGACUCCCAAUUGGUUACCGUAGUAAUAUUGGAGGGAUCAAUCGCCAAUCCACUUGCUAUCAUGGUAUGACCCAAGAAUCCAACUUCGUUCAAUCAGAAUUCGCAUUUGCUGAACUUGGCAUAAAGUUGGUGCUCUCGAAGCUUUUCCAACACUAACCUCAAGUGUUGCUCAUGCUCUUCUUCGGACUUGAAAAAGAUUAAUAUGUCAUCAAUGAAUACGACGUCAAACUUGUUCAGGUAUUCCAUGAAGACCUUGUUCAUGAGGUACAGGAAGUAAGCUGGGGCAUUAGUCAACCCGAAAGACAUGACAGUGCAUUCGUAUAAACCGUACCGGAUCACGAAUGCAGUCUUGGGUAUGUCCUCAGGUCGGAUCUUCAGUUGGUAAUAUCCAGAUCGGAGAUCAAUCUUGGAGAAUACCUUAGCUCCAUGUAAUUGAUCAAACAAGUCUUCAAUCUUGGGGAGUGGAUACUUGUUCUUGACCGUGACCUCAUUCAGGGAACGGUAGUUGACGCAGAGUCUGAUAGUCCCAUCCUUCUUGGACACGAACAGAACAGGUGAUCCCCAAGGUGACUCACUUUAAGGAAUGAACCAUUUCCUGAGUUGCUCAUCCACCUGUUUCUUCAGCUCCGCUAGCUCUUUGGAUCCCAUCCUAUAAGGCUUCUUAUAGAUAGGCCUUGAUCCGGGCAUGAGCUCAAUGAUGAACUCGAUGUCUCGGUCGGGAGGAAUUCCUGGUAGCUCAUCAGGAAAGACGUCCGGGUACUCACAUACUAUUGGCACUCGAUCGAGCUCUACUUCUGAUAGGUCGUUAACCUGUUGUACUCGAGUGGUUACUCACUCAGAGACAUACUUGACUUUGACCCCUUGGUCGCUUGUCAUGGUAAUAACCCCUCUUGGCACAGUCCAAGAUGCUCUGAUGUUUGGCCAACCAAUCCAUGCCGAGAAUUACUUCUAGGCCUUGCGACUUAAUGACAAUGGGGUCUGCUGAGAAGCUUAUCCCAUUGAUAACAAUCCCGACCUUCCUACAUCCUAGGUUGGUCCUUAACACUGCUCUCGGGGUUUGAAUUGCCAUUUGGCCGUUAAGCAGAGUAGGCUUUAAACCACAUUUUUCCGCAAAUCUUUGUCUCACAAAAGAAUGCGAAGCACCACAAUCAAACAAUACUACUGCUGGGGUGGAGUUGACGAGGAACGUACCCAGAAUGCAGUCCAGGUCUUCCCGUGCCUCUAUUGCGGAGAUAUGAUUGGUCCGCCCCCUGCUGUGAUACUGCUGUUGGGGAACGUUGCAUCGGAAACAAAAAAUUUCCUACGCACAUGAAGACCUAUCAUGGUGAUGUCCAUCUACGAGAGGAGAUUUGGAUCUACGUACCCUUUUAGAUUGCACAGCAGGAAGCGUUAAGAAACGCGGUUGAUGUAGUGGAACGUCUUCACGUCCCUCGAACCGCCCCACGAACCGUCCCAUGAACCGUCCCAUGAUUCGUCCCACGAUCUGUUCUGAUCUAGUGCCGAAUAGACGGCACCUCCGCGUUCAGCACACAUACAGCUCGACGAUGAUCUCAGCCUUCUUGAUCCAGCAAGCAAGACAGAGAAGUAGAUGAGUUCUCCGGUAGCGUGACGAUGCUCCGGUGGUGGUGAUGAUCUACUCCUGCAGGGCUCCGCCCGAGCUCCGCAGAAAUACGAUCUAGAGGAAGAACUAUGGUGUCUAGAUCUGAGUUGCACGUGGCAAAAGUUGUCUCAAAUCAGCCCUAAAUCACCACUAUAUAUAUAGGAGGGAGUAAGGGGAGGGGAGGAGGCAGCCUUAAAUCCUCAAGGUUUGGCCGAAAUUGGAGGUGGAGGAGUCUUACUCCAAUCCUACUUGGAGUGGGAUUCCACCUUCCCACUUGGAAACUCUUUCCACCUUGUGUUUUUUUCCUUCUCAAACCUUAUGGUCCUUAGUCGGAACUUAUUCCAGCCCACUAGGGGCUGGUUUAUCUCUUCCCAUAGCCCAUGACACCCCUUGGGGCGUGACACCCCUCCCGAUGGUCCCCGACACCCCUCCCGGCACUCCCGGUACACUACCGAUGAGCCCGGAACUUUUCCGGUGACCAAAACAGGAGUUCCUAUAUAUUAAUCUUUACCUCCGAACCAUUCUGGAGCUCCUCGUGACGUCCUGGAUCUCAUCUGGGACUCCGAACAACUUUCGGUUACCAACACCUAUAACUCAACUAUACCGAAACGUCACCGAACCUUAAGUGUGCAAACCCUGCGGAUUCGUGAACUAUGUAGACAUGCCCCGAGGUACUCCUCGGUUAAUACCCAAUAGCAGGACCUGGAUGCCCAUAUUGGAUCCUACAUAUGUUCCGAAGAUCUUAUCGGUUGAACCUCAGUUUGAAGGAUUCAUAUAAUCCCGUAUGUCAUUCCCUUAGUCCUUUGGUAUGUUACUUGCCAAUGAUUUGAUCGUUGGUAUCCGCAUACCUAUUUCAAUCUCGUUACCGGAAAGUUUCUUUACUCGUUCUAUAAUACAAGAUCUCGUGACUUACACUUAGUCACAUUGCUUGCAAGGCUUGUGUGUGAUGUUGUAUUACCGAGUGGGCUCCGAGAUACCUCUUCGUCACACGGAGUGACAAAUCCCAGUCUUGAUCCAUACUAACUCAAUGGACACCUUCGGAUAUACCUUUAGAUUACCUUUAUAGUCACCCAGUUACGUUGCGACGUUUGAUGCACACAAGGUAUUCCUCCGGUGCCAGUGAGUUAUAUGAUCUCAUGGUCAUAGGAACAUAUACUUGACACGCAGAAAACAAUAGCAAUAAAACGACACGAUCAAUAUGCUACAUUCAUAGUUUGGGUCUUGUCCAUCACAUGAUUCUCCUAAUGAUGUGAUCCCGUUAUUAAGUGACGACACUUGCCUAUGGUCAGGAAACCUUGACCAUCUUUGAUGAACGAACUAGUCAACUAGAGGCUCACUAGGGACAGUGUGUUGUCUAUGUAUCCACACAUGUAUUUGAGUUUCUAAUCAAUACAAUUCUAGCAUGGAUAAUAAACGAUUAUUAUGAACAGGGAAAGAUAAUAAUAACUAAUUUAUUAUUGCCUCUAGGGCAUAUUUCCAACAGUCUCCCACUUGCACUAGAGUCAAUAAUCUAGUUCACAUCACCAUGUGAUUUCGACGAAUCCAACACCCAUAUAGUUCUGGGGUCUAAUCACGUCUUGCUCGUGAGAGAGAUUUUAGUCAACGGUUCUGAAACUUUCAGAUCCGUGUGUGCUUUACAAAUCUUUAUGUCAUCUUAUAGAUGCUGCUACUACGUGCUAUUCGAAAAUACUCCAAAUAUCUACUCUACUAUACGAAUCCGUUUUACUACUAAUAGUUAUUCAGAUUAGUGUCAAAGCUUGGAUCGACAUAACCCUUUACGACGAACUCUUCAACCAUCUCCACAAUCAAGAAAAAAUACUUUGUCCAUUAGUUACUAAGGAUAACUUUAACCGCUGUUCAGUGAUUCAAUCCUGGAUCACUCUCUGUCCCUCUUAAUAGACUUGUGGCAAGGCACACAUCAGGUGCGGUACACAGCAUGGUAUACUGUAGAGUCUACGGCUAAGGCAUAGGGGAUGCCCUUCGUCCUUUUUCUUUCUUCUGUCGUGGUCUUGUUUUUUUGUCUUACUCAUAUUCACACCUUACAACACAGCCAAGAACUCCUUCUUUGCUGAUCUAUUUUGAACUCCUUCAAAAACUUGUCAAGGCAUGCAUUUCAUUUGAAAGUUCUGUUUAGCAUUUUGAUCUAUCUCCAUAGAUCUUGAUGUUCAAUGUUCAAGUAGCUCUAUCCAGGUCUUCCUUUGAAAACCCCCUUUCAAACAACCUUUAUGCUUUACAGAAAUUUUACAUUACUACCGAUCAACAAUAUGUUAACCACAUAUACUUUAUUAGAAAUACUAUAGUGCUCCCACUCACUUCUUUGGAAAUACAAGUUCUUAUAAACCUUGUACAAACCCAAAAGCUUUGAUCAUCUCAUCAAAGCGUAUAUUCCAACUCCGAGAUGCUUGCACCAAUCCAUAAAAGAAUCGCUGGAGCUUGCAUACUUGUUAGUAUCUUUAGGAUCGAGAAAGCCUUCUAGUUGUAUCACAUACAUCCUUUCCUCAAGGAAACCGUCGAGGAAACAAUGUUUUGACAUCCUAUGUGCAAUAUUUCAUAAAUAAUGCAGCAACUACUAACAUAAUUCCAACAGACUUUUCGCAUCGCUACGAGUGAGAAAUUCUCAUCAUAGUCAACUCUUUUAUCUUGUCGGAAACAUCUUUGCGACAAGUCCAUCUUUUCUUAAUAGUGACUUAUCACCAUCAUCGUCUGUCUUCCUUUUAAAGAUCCAUCUUUACUUAAUGGUCUUUACAACCAUCAAGUAGUUCUUCCAAAGUCCACACUUUGUUUUCAUACAUAGAUCCUCUCUCGGAUUUCAUGGCCUCCAGCCAUUUGUCGGAAUCCGGGCCCACCAUUGCUUCUCCAUAGCUCGCAGGUUCAUUGUUUUUCAACAACAUGACCUCCAAGACAGGGUUACCAUACCACUCUGUAGUAGUACGCGACCUUUGUCGACCUACGAGGUUUGUAGUAACUUGAUCCGAAGCUCUAAUGAUCACCAUCAUCAGCUUCCACUUCAAUUGGUGUAGGCGCCACAAGAACAACUUCAUGCGCCCUGCUACACACUGGUUGAAGUGACGAUUCAAUAACCUUAUCAAGUUCCACCACUCUCCCACUCAAUUCUUUCGAGAGAAACCUUUCCUUGAGAAAGGACCCGUUUCUAGAAACAAACACUUUGCUUCCGGAUCAGAGAUAGGAGAUGCAUCCAACUGUCCUGGGUAUCCUAUGAAGAUGCAUUUAUCCGCUUUGGGUUCGAGCUUAUCAGACUGAAACUUUUCACAUAAACGUCGCAACCUCAAAAUUUUAAGAAACGACAACCAUAGUCUAUACUGUGUCAUCUCAACGGAUAUAUGCGGUGCCUUAUUUAAAGUGAAUGUGGUUGUCUCUAAUGCAUAAACAAUAAACGAUAGUGACAAUUUGAUAAGAGACAUCACAGUAUGCACCAUAUCAAAUAGGGUGCGGCUAUGACGUUUAGACACAUCAUCACACUAUGGUGUUCUAGGUGGCAUGAAUUGUGAAACAAUUUCCGCAUUGUCUUAUCUGUGUACCAAAAACUCGCAACUCAAAUAUUCAUCUCUAUGAUCAUAUCGUAGAUAGUUUAUCCUCUUGUCACGACGAUCUUCGCCCUGAAAUAGCUGUGAACUUUUCAACAUUUCAGACUUGUGAUUCAUCAAGUAAAUACCCCUGUAUCUACUCAAAUCGUCAGUGAAAUAAGAACAUAACGAUAUCCACUGCGUGCCUUAGCACUCAUUGGACUGCACACAUAAAAAAUAUAUUACUUCCAACAAGUUACUUUCUUGUUUCACGUGGUAUGAUUUGCAUGUCUCAAGUGCUUCAAAAUCAAGUGAGUCCAAAUGAUCCAUCUGCAUGGCGUUUCUUCAUGCGUUUAUACCAAUAGGUAUGGUUUGCAUGUCUCAAACGUUUCAAAAAUUAGUGAGUACAAAGAUCCAUCACUAUGGAGCUUCUUCAUGCAUUUAACACAAACAUGACUCAAGCGGCAGUGCCACAGGUAAGUGGUACUGUCAUUAUUACGUUGUAUCUUUUGGCACCAAUAUUAUGAAUAUGUGUAACACUACGAUCGAGAUUCAAUAAACCAUUGAAGGUAAUUAUUCAAGUAACAUAGAAUUACCAUUAUUCUCUUUAAAUGAAUAAUCGUAUUGCAAUAAACAUGAUCCAAUCAUGUUCAUGCUCAACGCAAACACCAAAUAACAAUUAUUUAGGUUUAACACCAAUCCCGAUGGUAGAGGGAGCGUGCGAUAUUUGAUCACGUCAACCUUGGAAACACUUCCAACACUUAUCAUCGCCUCACCUUUAGCUAGUCUCCGUUAAUUCCUUUGCUUUUAUUUCGUGUUACUAAUCACUUAGCAACCGAACCGGUAUCCUACCCUCGUGCUACUAGGAGUACUAGUAAAGUACACAUCAAUAUCAUGUAUAUCAAAUAUACUUUUGUCGACUUUGACAGCCUUCUUAUCUACCAAGUUUCUAGGUUAGUUCCACCUCAGUGACUGUACCCCUGAUAACAGAAGCACUUAGUCUCGGGGUUGGGUUCAAUCUUGGGUUUCUUCAUUAGAGCAUCAACUGGUUUGUUGUUUCAUUAAGUAUCCCUUCUAGCCCUUGCCCUUCUUGAAACUAGUGGUUUUAUUAACCAUCAACAAUUGAGGCUCCUUCUUGAUUUCUACUUUCGCAGUAUCGAACAUUGGGAAUCGCUCAAGGAUCAUCAUAGCUAUCCUUGAUAUGUUUAUAGUUCAUCACGAAGCUCUAGCAGCUUGGUGGCAGUGACUUUGGAGAACCAUCAUUGUCUCAUCUGGAAGAUUAACUCCCACUUGAUUCAAGCGGUUGUUGCACUCAGAUAAUCUGAGCACAUGCUCAACGAUUGAGCUUUUCUCCUUUACUUCGUAGACAAAGAAUCUUGUCGGAGGUCUCAUACCUCUCAACAAGGGCAUGAGCAUGAAAUCUCAAUUUCAUCUCUUAGAACAUCUCUUAUGUCCCGUGACGUUUCAAAACGUCUUCAGUGCCUUGCUUCUAAGUCAUUAAGUAUUACACAUUGAACUAUCACAUAGUCAUCAAAAAUGUGUAUGUCAGAUGUACGCAACAUCCACAGACGACGCUCGAGGUGCAGCACACUGAGUGGUGCAUUAAGGACAUAAGCCUUCUGCGCAGCAAUGAGGACAAUCCUCAGUUUUACGGACUCAAUCCGCAAAGUUGCUACUAUCAUCUUUCAACUAAAUUUUCUCUAGGAACAUAAGUAGAGCUAUAGCGCAAGCUACAUCAUAAUUCGCAAAGAUCUUUAGACUAUGUUCAUGAUAAUUAGUUCAAUUAAUCAUAUUACUUAAGAACUCCCACUCAAAAAGUACAUCUGUCUAGUCAUUCGAGUGGUACAUGAUUCAGAUUCAGUAACUCAAGUCCGAUCAUCACGUGAGUUGUGAAUAGUUUCAGUGGUAAGCAUCCCUAUGCUAAUCAUAUAAACUAUAUGAUUCAUGCUUGACCUUUCGGUCUCUUGUGUUCCGAGGCCAUGUUUGCACAUGCUAGGCUCGUCAAGUUUAACCCGAGUGUUCCGCGUGUGCAACUAUUUUGCACCCGUUGUCUGUGAACAUGGAGCCUAUCACACCCGAUCAUCACGUGGUGUCUCGAAACGACGAACUGUCACAACGGUGCACAGUUGGGGAGAACACAAUUUCAUCUUGAAAUUUUAGUGAGAGAUCACCUUAUAAUGCUACCGUCGUCCUAAGAAAAAUAAGGUGCAUAAAAGGAUUAACAUCACAUGCAAUUCAUAAGCGGCAGGAUAUGGCCAUCAUCAUGUGCUUCUUGAUCUCCAUCACCAAAGCACCGACACGAUCUUCUUAUCACCGGCGCCACACCAUGAUCUGCAUCAACGUGUCGCCAUCGGGGUUGUCAUGCUACUUAUGCUAUUACUACUAAAGCUACGUCCUAGCAAUAUAGUAAACACAUCUGCAAACACAAACGUUAGUUUAAAGACAACCCUAUGGCUCCUGCCGGUUAUCGUACGAUCGACGUGCAAGUCGAUAUUAACUAUUACAACAUGAUCAUCUCAUGCAUCCAAUAUAUCACAUCACGUCAUUGGCCAUAUCAUAUCACAAGCAUACCCUGCAAAAACAAGUUAGACGUCCUCUAAUUUGUUGUUGCAUGUUUUACGUGGCUGCUAUGGGUAUCUAGUAUGAUCGCAUCUUACUUACGCAAAAACCACAAUGGAGAUGUGCAAAUUGUUAUUUAAACUCUCCAAGGACCACCUCGGUCAAAACCAAUUCAACUAAAGUUGAAGAAACCGACACCCGCCAGUCAUCUUUAUGCAACGAGGUUGCAUGCCAAUCGAUCAAACCAGUCUUUCGUAAGUGUACGAAUAAUGUCGGUCCGGGCCGCUUCAAUUCAACAAUACCGUCGAAUCGAGAAAAGACUAAGGAGGGCAGAAAAUCGAACAUCACCAUCCACAAAACCUUUUGUGUUCUACUCGAGAUAACAUCUACGCAUGAACCUAGACCAUGAUGCCACUGUUGGGGAACGUUGCAUGGGAAAAAAAUAUUUGCUACGCACACGAACACCUAUCAUGGUGAUGUCCAUUUACGAGAGGAGAUUUGGAUCUACGUACCCUUGUAGAUCGCAUAGCAGGAAGCGUUAAGAAACGCGGCUGAUGUAGUGGAACAUCUUCACGCGCUCGAACCGUCCCACAAACCGUCCCGCGAUCCGUCCCACGAUAGGUUCCGAUCUAGUGCCGAACGAACGACACCUCCGUGUUCAGCACACGUACAACUUGACGAUGAUCUCGGCCUUCUUGACCCAGCAAGCAAGACAGAGAAGUAGAUGAGUUCUCUGGAAGCGUGACGCUGCUCCGGUGGUGGUGGUGAUCUACUCCUAAAGGGCUCCGCCCGAGCUCCGCAGAAAUACGAUCUAUAGGAAGAACUAUGGUGUCUAGAUCUGAGUUGCAUGUGGAAAAAGUUGUCUCAAAUCAGCCCUAAAUCACCACAAUAUAUAGGAGGGAGGGAGGGGAGGAGGCAUCCCGAAAACCUCAAUGUUUGGCUGAAAUUGGAGGUGGAGGAGUCCCACUCCAAUCGUACUUGGAGUGGGAUUCCACCUUCCCACUUGGAAACUCUUUCCACCUUGUGUUUUUUUCCUUCUCAAACCUUAUGGGCCUUAGUGAGAACUUAUUCCAGCCCACUAGGGGCUGGUUUAUCUCUUCCCAUAGCCCAUGACACCCCUUGGGGCGUGACACCCCUCCCGAUGGUCCCCGGCACCCCUCCCGGCACUCCGGAUACACUACCGAUGAGUCCGAAACUUUUCCGGUCACCAAAACAGGACUUCCUAUAUAUUAAUCUUUACCUCCGGACCAUUCCGGAGCUCCUCAUCAUGUCCUGGAUCUCAUCCGAGACUCCGAAAAACUUUUGUUUACCAACACCUAUAACUCAACUAUACCGAAACGUCACCGAACCUUAAGUGUGCAGACCCUGCGGGUACGAGAACUAUGUAGACAUGCCCCGAGGUACUCCUCAGUUAGUAUCCAAUAGCGGGACCUGGAUGCCCAUAUGGGAUCCUACAUAUUCUCCGAAGAUCUUAUCGGUUGAACCUCAGUGUCAAGGAUUCAUAUAAUCACGUAUGUCAUUCCCUUUGUCCUUCGGUAUGUUACUUGCCCGAGAUUUGAUCGUCUCUAUCCGCAGACCUAUUUCAAUCUAGUUACCGGCAAGUCUCUUUACUCGUUCCAUAAUACAAGAUCCCGUGACUUACACUUAGUCACAUUGCUUGCAAGGCUUGUGUGUGAUGUUGUAUUACUGAGUGGGCCCCGAGAUACCUCUCCGUCACACGGAGUGCAAAUCCGAGUCUUGAUCCAUACUAACUUAAUGGACACCUUCAGAUAUACCUGUAGAGAACCUUUAUAGUCACCCAGUUACGUUGCGACGUUUGAUGCACACAAGGUAUUCCUCCGGUGCCAGUGAGUUAUAUGAUCUCAUGGUCAUAGGAACAAAUACUUGACACGCAGAAAACAAUAGGAAUAAAACGACACGAUCAAUAUGCUACGUUAAUAGUUUGGGUCUUGUCCUUCACAUGAUUCUCCUAAUGAUAUGAUCCCAUUAUCAAGUGACAGCACUUGCCUAUGGUCAGGAAACCUUGACCAUCUUUGAUCAACGAACUAGUCAACUAGAGGCUCACUAGGGACAGUGUGUUGUCUAUGUAUCCACACAUGUAUUUGAGUUUCCAAUCAAUACAAUUCUAGCAUGGAUAAUGAAAGAUUAUUAUGAACAAGGUAAUAUAAUAAUAACUAAUUUAUUAUUGCGUCUAGGGCAUAUUUCCAACAACUGCUGGUUGCGGGGAGCUUGGUUCCUGCCUGGUGCUUGUUGGCCUUGGUUUGGCGCAUUGGAGCGCAGUGCGCCGGGCUUCUUGUUGGGACACUGCCUGGAAUAGUGCCCUGUCUGUCCACAUCCAAAACAGGUAACUUGUGCUGGAAGAUUGGUCUUGACUCCACUAUUGUUCGGUGGGUUGAAUGUUGGCUUGGUUUUGACUUGCUGCUGAGGCUGGUAGUUCUGGCGAAAUGUUGGAGACUUGUACUGCUGCUGCUGAUAGUUGGGUCUUACUGGAGCUGACUGCCAUGGGCGUGGCUUCGGGUUACUAGGUCCUCUAGUACCCAUCAGCUUGCGCUUACGGGUGUCAUCCAUUGCACGAGACUUAUCCUCCAACAUAAGGGCCUUAUUAACCAGAUCACUGAAGGUACGACAUUCACAAACGACCAGCUGAUAGUGGAGUGACUGCUGCAGUCCUUCCAUAAAGCGUCCCACUUUGGCGGCCUUAGUGUUCACAUCUUGUGGUGCAUAUCUUGACAGGAGGUUGAACUUAUGCAAAUACUGCUUGACGGAUCCACUGCCUUGCCUUAAGGCUCGGAAUUCCCGCUUCUUAAUAGUCAUUAUUCCGGGAGGAAUGUGAGCGGCGCGGAAUCCCUCUUUGUACAUAGGCCAGGUGAUGACUUGCCCUGCUCACCUGAUCUGAAAUCCAUCCCAUCAAGCUCUGGCUGUGCCUCCGAGAUAGUGAGAAGCAUAGAGGACUUUCUCACGAUCAUCAGUGCAUUUGAUGAGCGCGAGGAGGUCUUCAAUAGUACGGAUCCAGUCAUCGGCAUCCAAUGGUUCAGUCGUCUCCAUGAAUAUGGGUGGCGUAGUUCGCAUGAACUCAGGGAGAGUAGAGCGACCAUUGCCAUUCCCGUUCUGCGGCGGGUUCUUCACCAAGACUUGAGCCAACUGCUGAAUAGCGACAUUAUUGGCUUGACGUUCCUCUGGGAGAGAUUGAAGGAACAGAGCCAUAGUCAAGCUUUCAGGAGGAGGUGGUGGCGGUGGAACAUCGUCUUGCUGCUCGUGGUAAUCCCAGGUUGAGCUUCCCCUCCAGCUCCCUGCUACUGACAUGAAGAGGCAGAGCCGGGGUUGCCGAAGGUGCUGGUGCGAGUCGCACUCACCAUCCUGUCAGGGGAGUAGACAGGUCUAUUUCCCGAACUGGCCGAAAUCAUAAGAGAUGAUGCUCUAGUAAAAGGGGGUCUGGUGCUGUGCUAGUGUGAAAUUUUUAAGCCAAAGGAUUUUGGAAAAGCUAAUGCAUUAGAUUAAAACAACUGAUUUAGUCGCUCACAAGCUGCCUAAGGCAGAAUGUGACUUGCAUCCAAACAUGCUUACACAACACUUAUGGUUCACAUGAACCGAUACAUGAACUCCUACGCUCGGGGAGGAAACUCCUAAUUGCCUACGUUGUAAUCCUAAGUGGCGGACUGCUUGGUCUCAUAGGCGGGUUCUGCAGGAUCUUCGUCAUCCUCUUCAUCCUCACUUCCUUACUUUAGAGGGGUGAGAGAAGGAAGCAGUCCAUCACAGCGUCUCUUGGUUGGUGAGUCAGCGAAGAGUUCAGUGUACUGUUCCACGGUCACACGACGACUCUGAAUAGGAGUGGCCUAAAGUGGUGGUACUCCUCCUUAGAAAGCAACGCCUGAUCGUCCUUCGGGUGCUCCUUCCUUCUUCACCUUGCGGAUCUUCAUCUUCUCCAUGCGGAGUAGAUCCUUGACUUGGUGCAACUCUUGGCAAAUCUUUGUUGACCCCUUGAUCAAAAGGUGCGUCAAAGUGUCAGAGGAGAGGCUGAAGUAGGUCUGAAACCUUAGUGGCGUCCCGUCCUCAGAAGAUGGGUUGAGUGUCCAACUCCCAUCUAUUCCAUCCUUAACAAAAGGUAGGUGACGAGUAUCUGGCUUGUUAGCCAUCUCGGAAAGGAUAUUGUGGAGACGCACGAGCGCCUCUCGUGCGGCUGUCUCCACUGCCAACAUCAGAUCCUCCAUAUGUGGUCCUUCAAAGAACCAGCUAGUCGGGGAGUCACUAGCCUUCACUAUCACAUCCACGUGAUACUCCUUGGUGUCGGCGUUGACCCAAUUCUCGUGGUAGAGGAAGAUGGGCGUGCGGCGUACUUGGCACUUCUUGAGGCUAUCACCCAAAAGUAGGGGAAAGCCCAUCUCCAGAAGCAUCUCAAGUACGACGGCCAUCUACAAGAUGUAGUGGAGAAGGUUAGAAAGUUUUUAGUGGGUGCAAAAAUCUCAGGUUAAGAUCUAUGCGAACUAAUCGUCUUGGCCAUCGUCCAUGCUACCUAAGGCUUUCUAUAGUCAGGAUGGCUCUGAUACCAGCUCUGUGGGGACCCCGACUUAUGAGUCGAAAUCGCCGAACGAACGUGCUGAGUGAUCCCAGAGACCAAUGCUCACCGAACGAACAGAUACUGAAUACUAAGAGUCUUACAUCCAAGUAUCGAAUUAUUACAUCACGUGACUGAAUGAUCAAGUUCACAAGGUAGGGCCUAUAAGGCCAAAUCACACUGAUACAACUAGUAGCGGAAAUCUUAGGGCUAAGCGGGUGCCCAUGCCAUCAGCCUACACCAACAGACAUUCUGACUGGGAAGCCUCCUUGUUAGCAGGGGCGUCUCCGAAGACGUACUCAUCUCCAAACUCCGGUCCUCCCAUGUCUGGUCAAUAAUAUAACUAGUGGCGAGCCAAUGAGUACUUUUGAAUGUACUCGCAAACAACCCAUGAUAUGAACAAUGCUAGUGAAGGAUAACAAUAACAUGCUUCUUUGGUGUAUAACUCUUGGUGGUAAAUAAACAUGAUCCUAGGUAUGCAUCAUAAGUAAACUACUUUUGAAGAACAAGUUACGGAUAUCAAUAUAUAUCUGUCAAGGGCUGAACCAUCCGGGUCCACCCUAUAUGCCAAGUUACCAAACUUGGUCAUAUCAAAUCUUUCAUAAUAACACCAUUUAACACAUACUCACACACACUUAGUUUAUGAGGAAACGACUGGAUGUAGUUUAAGCAUCACCAGCCAACUAUCCUUGACCAUGGACACGGCUAUUCGAAUAGUUUUACACUCUGCAGAGGUAGUAUGUUGGACCCACGAGAUCCGGGAAACUUCCGUGUCAUCCACGACUCGCGGUAUACAACAUACCCGAGGUAAGUACCCGAUCAAAGCCUUUCCCCUGAUGAUACUAGACAAAGAGGUCCACUCGAUUGGUACCCAGCCCACAUGUUGUUCGGCUUACGAGCACCAGCUAUGGACAGUAUCAACCAUGUGGGGACCAACGGUGUGCUUGGAACACGUAAAAACGGCAUAGUCGCCCUACCUGGCAUGACCCUAUCACGAGAGUGACCACACAUCACUCCCGCUACUAGUAAUGUGGCUCUUUCCUAGCACCGACCAGAGUAAUCAACAUAGCCCCAUCCCAUAAAGGGGUAACGUGGUUGUACAUGUAAGGUUGGUAGGGUCGACACAUCAUAAAUCUAUUCCCAUUUCUGAAACCAUACAAACACAAAUACCCGGUGCACCACUUCACCAAAAGUGGCCACAUAACUCAUCAACACCCUCGGGCAUUACUGGCACCCGACGGGGUUUUCAUCACCUUUGAUUUAUGUCAUCAACAUGUUCAUGCUAAUACUACUUCUAGCUUUACUUGUCGACAUGAUAUUAACAUGACCCUCAUAGGUGGUAGGAUCAAGCUCAAUGCAUUUGCUCCAGAGGAGCCAUCGGUAACAUCACAUCAAUGAUUUACCGGCACCUAUGAUCAUAUGCAACGAAAAUAUUUGCUACACUAGCGUGCAAUAUAACAUAUGCUUGGUCAUGGUCAAAGGGCUGGUUGCCUUGGUCAGCUAGGUAUCCGGGGUCUUCGAGGUCUUCCGCUCCGACUCCUACGUCAAACGGGUUUUCUAUCGUCGUAUAAAGAUAAAAUAAUAAGUAGCUCACUCUCAAACAAAUCACAAAGUCAUUAUAAAAAUGUUGGUUAUUUCUGAUAAAUCUAGGUUGUUAUUUUAGAAAUAUUUGCCUCUGAUUCUAAUGAAGGAAUAUUUUUAAAAUCAACUAAACAGAAGCAAAACUAUUCCAAAUUAAUCCCUUUUAUUUUUAUAAAACAGAAUAGUUGCUGCAAAAUUCAACCAAUGGUUCUAUCAAAUACUACACAUUUUUAGAAGAUUAAAAUUGUAAAAAUCAUAUUUUUACACUCGUUAAAUCUUUUGAUAAAAAUCUUUGAAAGUCAAGUUUUUAAAUAAAAGAAAAAGGGCUACAACUCCUGGCCUGGCUUGGCGCGGGACUGGGCCGGCCCAAAGGCCAGCCAGCUAGCCUGCCCAGGCGCGCGCCGUCAGGUUUGAACCUGAUGCGUGGGCCCCAUGUGGUCAGCGGCUGCGGGCAGCGAGGGAGAGAGAGAUGGGCAACCGACAGGUCGGGCACACGUGUCGGGGGCGUGUCCUACCUGUGGCCAAAGAGGAGGAGGAGCACGCCGGUGUGGUUACCGACGUCCUCGGACCCCAACGAAGACGGAAAUGGGUCCGGCUCGUCGUUGCCUACCUGAUGGUGGUCGAGACAACGACAUAGGGGAUCAGGUUCACCCGCGAUGAGGAAGUCGCGGCGGAGGGGCUCAGGUUCACCGGCGAUGAGGAAGUCGCGGCGGAGGGGCUCAGGUUCACCGGCGACGAGGAAGCCGCGGCGGAGGAGUUUCGGGCGAAGGUGGAAGGGGGUAGCUAGGGGCAUGGAUUAGCUUGGGAAAGAUGGGGGAAAGAUCCCUGGUGUCAAGGAGAGUGGCUUGGUGGUCAGAGGGACGUAGGAGCCGACGUGUCGCCGGAGAUCGACCGGAGCUCCGAGGCGGAGGGGCCUCGGUCGAUCUCGAGCACCGGGGCUCUGCUAGCUUGCUGGGAUGUCUAGGGAGGUGCUAGAGGUGCCUGCGAUGAUGCUUGAGGGGUGCUAGAGCGAGGGGGAGGGCUAUUUAUAGGCCCGCGAUGGUGAGCCGAUUCGGGAAUGUCGGUGACUCACCGUGGAGUGCAUAUGGGGUGCAGAGAGGAGCUGGGGGUCGAAACCACGGUCUCAGGACGUGGUUUUGAACUGCCAGAACCUACUGUGCGGAAGGAAGAGAGAGGGGAGACGAGCAUUAGUGGCUGCGCAUCUCUGGCCGGUACAGGUGCGCGCGGGCACGCGUCGCACCAGCUCUUAGCGUGGAGAGGAGGGGCCCUUAUGGUCGCCUGAUGCAAAGGGGCUGUCGGGGAAGAAGUUGGACACCUCGGGGGAGGCUGGAACUGGCCGAGGGCAUCGCCCCCACCUUGGGGUUCUCUCUAGCGCCUAGAUCACAGUUUUGGCAUGCCACGGCAUGCUGGCGCGCUCAGGGGUGCUUUGGACAUGUCUAGCUUGUCCUGGGCACUGAUACGUCUCAAACGUAUCUAUAAUUUUUGAUGGUUUCACGCUGUUAUCUUGUCAACUUUGGAUGUUUUGUUUACCUUUUAUAUCUUUUUUGGGACUAACUUAUUAAUUCAGUGCCAAGUGCUAGUUCCUGUUUUUUGUGUGUCUUUGACUCUUUUCAAAUCUGAUUUUGGAACGGAGUCCAAACGGAAUAAAAUCCCCAAUUUUUUUUCCAGAAUGGAAGAAGAUCGGGGUUGAGAGCCAAGGCAGUGAGCCCAUAGGGGGCCACAAGCCCUGUUACCGCGGCCAGGGGUGGAGGCCGCGGCAACCAAGCUUGUGCCCCCUGGCGCUCCCUUGCCCUAGGUCUUUGGCCUAUAAAUUCCCUAAAAAAUCCAGAAAAAAUCAUGGCAUCCACGAAAACACUUUUCCACCAUCGCAAGCUUCUGUUUCCGCGAGAUCUCAUCUGGAGACCCUUCCCUGUGCCCUGCCGGAGGGGACUUUGGAGUUGGAGGGCUUCUACAUCAACAUCAUCGCCUCUCCAAUGACUCGUGAGUAGUCUACUUCAGACCUACGGGUCUGUAGUUAGUAGCUAGAUGGCCUCUUCUCUCUCUUGGAUCUUCAAUACAAAGUUCUCCAUGAUCUUCAUGGAGAUCUAUCCGAUGUAAUCCUCUUUGGCAGUGUGAUUGUCGAGAUCCGAUGAAUUGUGGAUUCGUGAUCAGAUUAUCUAUGAAUUAUAUUUGAGUCUUUGCUGAUUUCUUAUAUGCAUGAUUUGAUAUCCUUGUAAGUCUCUCCGAGUCUUGGGUUUUGUUUGGCCAACUAGAUCUAUGACUCUUGCAAAGGGAGAAGUGCUUGGUUUUCGGUUCAUACCGUGUGGUGACCUUUCCCAAUGACAGAAGGGGCAGCAAGGCACGCAUCGUGUUGUUGCCAUCAAGGGAAACAAGAUGGGAUUUUAUCGUAGAUAUGAGAUUGUCCAUCUACAUCAUGUCAUCUUGCUUAAGGCAUUACUCUGUUCUUUUGGACUUAAUACACUUGAUGCAUGCUGGAUAGCGGUCGACGUGUGGAGUAAUAUUAGUAGAUGCAGAAAGUAUCGGUCUACUUGUUUUGGAUGUGAUGCCUAUAGAUAUAAUCAUUUCCUUAUAUAACGUCACGACUUUGCGUGGUUCUAUCAAUUGCUCGACAGUAAUUCGUUCACCCACCGUCUACUUGCUUUCAUGAGAGAAGCCACUAGUGAACACUACAGCCCCCGGGUCUAUUCGCAACUAUCAUUUCUACUUUCACUUUUACUUUGCUCUGUUUACUCUUUGCUUUCAGUUCACACUUUGCAAACAAUCUAUAAGGGAUUGACAACCCCUUCAUAGCGUUGGGUGCAAGUUCUUUGUGUUUGUGCAUGUACUUGUGACUUGACGAGAUCUUCCAUUGGUUUGAUACCUUGGUUCUCAAAACUGAGGGAAAUACUUACCGCCGCUGUGCUACAUCACCCUUUCCUCUUCAAGGGAACACCAACGCAAGGCUCCAAGGCCGAGGGAAAUCCUUUGCAUAUUUGCCAAGGAAGUCCCUAAAGGCGUAGCCGUAGCAGCAGGAUUCGUGGCGCCGUACCAGGAAAGGUCUGUUGUCGCAGUAGCAGAAGGAUUUCUGGCGCCAUUGCCGGGGAGGAUCAAGACAAGAAUAGUCUCCCUUCAACAUUCUGAUUUCUGGCGCAAGGAGGAGAUCUAUCCAAGUAGGUGUCACAAACUCAUCUCUUGCAUUUACCUUUUUUGCCAGUUGCCUCUCGUUUUCCUCUCCCCCACUUCACAUUUGCCGUUUUCAUUUGCCUUUCUCCUUUGCCGUUUUCAUUUGCAUUUUUGCCCUUUUCCUUUGCCGUUUUCUUUUGCCUUUUUGCCGUUUUCCUUCGCCGUUUUCUUUUGCCCGCUUCACUCGCUUACUUCCUGCUCGUUCAUGUGUGGGAUAAUCCUCCAAUGGAUAGACCCACUACUCCAAAUGAUACCCCUGAGAACGAAGUUCUCAAUUUCAGGCAGAAUGAGGAAGAAAAUUUAAAGGACGCUUGGUACAGGAUUUGCAAUGCUCACAGUAGAUCUACUCGUGAGCAAUCCACUACCGUUCUUCUUCGUAAUUUUUAUGUUGGAAUCUCCCCUUGGAAUAGGUAUAUUCUUGAUACCAUCGUAGGCGGGAAUUUUUGGGGAGCCAUACUGUUGACUCCUAUGGAGCUAUCAUGAACUUGGUAGGCUCACCUCCGCUCAUGGUUAAUGGAACUACCUUGACCUUGGAACACGUGAUGCAAAGGCUUGACGCUAUUGAAAACAAAAUUGCCACAAUUGAACUUAUUGAGGGUUUGGACAGAAAGAUCCACAAUCAAAUUACUCAGUACGGAUCCAAAGUGGGAAUGGUCUUGAAAAAUUUAAGGGAGAAGGAACCUAUAGUUAAUGAUUCCUCUAGAAUUGACAAACUAGAAGAUGUCAUAACCAACUUGGGUUCCGCUUUUGCCGCUGUGCAAAAUACUCCAAAUCUCACUCUCAAAAAGACCGUCAAGUCUGUUUUUGUUCCUAAAGCUAGUGGUGAGUCAUCCAAUAAAGAUGAAGAUCUUAAGAUGAUAAAUGAUCACACUACUUAUGGUUUGAGCACCAAAGAUGACUAUACGUGAUUCUAUCACCUUAUGCCUAGCUAAGGGCGUUAAACAAUAGCGCUUGUUGGGAGGCAACCCAACGUAUCUAUCCUUUUUCUUUUUGUUUUGUGUUCUCCACACUUUCAUAAUUCUGCUAUGAUUGUGUUUUUUGUGUUUCUUUUUGGGUUUGCGCCAAGCAAAACCGUUAUGAUUAGUCUUGGGGAUGAUCAUUUGGUCAUGCUGGAAAAGACAGAAACUUUCUGCUCACGAAAAGAAUUUUCAUUUUUUUUCUCAGAGAUUUAGAGUUGAUUGUUUUUUCUGUUGAUUUCUAAGCAAUUUUUCAGACUGUCGUAAUUUUUUAGAAUUUUUGAAGUACCAGAAGUAUACGAAGUAUAUAGAUUGCUACAGAGUGGUCUGCUGUUAACAGAUUCUAUUUUUGUUGAGUUGGUUGCUUAUUUUGAUGAAACUAUGGAUAGUAUCGGGGGGUAUUAGCCAUCAAAGAUUGAAAAUACAGUAACCCAACAUAAACUAAGUUUUCUACAGUACCUAAGGAAGUGGUGGUUUGCUUUCUUAUACUAAUGUUAUCACGAGUUUCUGUUUAAGUUUCGUGUUGUGAAGUUUUCAAGUUUUGGGUGAAGUUCUUAUGGACAAAAAGAUAACGAGUGGCAAGAGCUCAAGCUUGGGGAUGCCCAAGGCACCCCAAGUUGAUUCAACAAUGCCGUAAAAGUCUAAGCUUGGGGAUGCCCCAGGAAGGCAUCCCCUCUUUCGUCUUCAAUCCAUCGGUAACAUUACUUGGGGCUAUAUUUUUAUUCACCACAUGUUAUGUGUUUUGCUUCGAGCGUCUUGUAUCGUAGGUGUCUUUUAUUUUUGUUGUGUCACAAUCAUCCUUGCUACACACCUAGAGAGAGACAUGCACUCACCGUGAUUUUGUCGAGCUUCACUUAUAUCCUUUGGUUAGACAAUUCAGCUCUAUGUGCUUCACUUAUAUCUUUUGAGCUAGUUUCUUUUUAUCUAUGUGCUUCACUUAUAUCUUUUAGAGUACGGAGGUGCGUGGCUUGGUAGUUGAUCUAUGAUUUGUUAGUAGUCUCAAAAGGGGUAGUUAUCCAAAGGGAUAUGAAAACCUCCACCUUCAUGUGCAUUGAAUAGUCAGAGAAGUUUGAUUCAUCUCAAUUAGUUUUGAGUUGUGGUUGUGGUAAUAUUGAAGUUAUGUUAGUAAGGUGUUGUGGAUCUAAAAAUACUUGUGUUGAAGUUAGUGAUACCCGUAGCAUGCACGUAUGGUGAACCGCUAUGUGAUGAAGUAUGAGCAUGAUUAGUCUAUUGAUUGUCAUCCUUUGUGUGGCGGUCGGGAUCGCGCGAUGGUUUAUACCUACCAACCUUUCCCCUAGGAGUAUGCGUUGAAUGCUUUGUUUCAAUUUCUACUAAAACUUUUGCAACAAGUAUAUGAUUUCUUCAUGACUAAUGUUGAGUCCAUGGUUUAGAUGCACUUUCACCUUCCACCAUCACUAUCUUCUUUAGUGCCGUGCAAUUUUCGCCGGUGCACAAAACCCACCAUUAGCCUCCCUCAAAACAGCCACCAUACCUACCUACUAUGGCUUUUUCAAAGCUAUUCCGAGAUAUAUUGCCAUGCAACUACCACCAUGACACGUGCCACCACUUCUACAUUGCCAUUGCAUGAUCGUAAGAUAGCUAGCUUGAUGUUUCCAUUGAUGUCUAUGCCAUGUUAGAUCAUUGUCACGGUAACUACCGAAGGCAUUCCAUAUAGAGUCAUCAUUGCUCUAAGUUUUGAGUUGUAAGUGUGAUGAUCAUCAUUGAUGGAGCAUUGUCCCAUGUGAGGAAAUAAAAGAGGCCAAAGAUGCCCACCAAAAAAAGAGAGGCCAAAGAGCCCACAAAAAGAAAUAUGAGAGAAAAAGAGAGAAGGGACAAUGCUACCACCUUUCCACACUUGUGCAUAUUAAGCACCAUGAUCUUCAUGAUUGAGAGUCUCUUGUUUUGUCACCACCAUAUAGCUAGUGGGAAUUUUUCAUUAUAUAAAUUGGCUUGUACAUUCCAAUGAUAGACUUCCUCAAAUUAGCCUUAGGUCUUGGUGAGCAAGCAAGUUGGAUGCACACACCUUAGUUUUCUUUAAGAGCUUUCACAUACUCUUAGCUCUAGUGCAUCAUUUGUAUGGCAAUCCCUACUCAUUCACGUUGAUAUAUAUUGAUGAGCAUCUCCAUAGCUCAUUGAUAUGCCUAGUCAAUGUGACCAUCUUCCCCUUGUUUGCCUUGCAACCUCCACCAGACUCCACACCACUUAUAGUGCUAAAACCAUGGCUCACGGUCAUAUAUUGCGUGAGAGUUGAAAAAGUUUGAGAAAGUAAAGGUGUGAAAACAAUUACUUGGCCAAUACCGGGGUUGUGCAUGAUUUAAAUUCGUUGUGCAAUGAUGAUAGAGCAUAGCCAGACUAUAUGAUUUUGUAGGGAUAACUUUCUUUUGGCCUUGUUAUUUUGAAAGUUCAUGAUUACCUUGGUAGUUUGCUUUAAUUAUUAUUGUCUCCACGUCAAUAGAAAACUAUUGUUUUGAAUCUAAUGGAUCAGAACAUUCACGUCACAUAAGAGGAGUUACAAUGGACAUCUAUGCUAGGUAGCAUGAAAGCAUCAAAAAUUCAUUCUUUAUCACUUCCCUACUCGAGGACGAGCAGGAGUUAAGCUUGGGGAUGCUUGAUACGUAUCAAACGUAUCUAUAUUUUUGAUGGUUUCACGCUGUUAUCUUGUCAAUUUUGGAUGUUUUGUUUACCUUUUAUAUCUUUUUUGGGACUAACUUAUUAAUUCAGUGCCAAGUGCCAGUUCCCGUUUUUUCUGUGUUUUUGACUCUUUUCAGAUCUGAUUUUGGAAGAAGUCCAAACGGAAUAAAUUCCCCGAAAUAAAAUUUUCCAGAACGGAAGAAGAUCGGGAGGCUUGAGGGCCAAGGCAGUGGGCCCACAGUGGGCCCACAAGCCCUGUGGCCGCGGCCAGGGGGGAGGCCACGGCAACCAAGCUUGUGGCCCCCGUGGCGCUCCCGUGCCCUAGGUCUUUGGCCUAUAAAUUCCCUAAAAAUCCAGAUAAAAUGAGGGCAUCCACGAAAACACUUUCCGCCGCCGCAAGCUUCCGUUUCCGCGAGAUCUCAUCUGGAGAUCCUUCCCGGUGCCCUGCCGGAGGGGACUUUGGAGUUGGAGGGCUUCUACAUCAACAUCAUCGCCUCUCCAAGGACUAGUGAGUAGUCUAAUUCAGACCUACGGGUCCGUAGUUAGUAGCUAGAUGGCUUCUUCUCUGUCUUGGAUCUUCAAUACAAAGUUCUCCAUGAUCUUCAUGGAGAUCUAUCCGAUGUAAUCAUCUUUGGAGGUGUGUUUGUCGAGAUCCAAUGAAUUGUGGAUUUGUGAUCAGAUUAUAUAUGAAUUAUAUUUGAGUCUUUGCUGAUUUCUUAUAUGCAUGAUUUGAUAUCCUUGUAAGUCUCUGCGAGUCUUGGGUUUUGUUUGGCCAACUAGAUCUAUGAUUCUUGCAAUGGGAGAAGUGCUUGGUUUUGGGUUCAUACCGUGUGGUGACCUUUCCAAGUGACAGAAGGGGCAGCAAGGCACACAUCGUGUUGUUGCCAUCAAGGGUAACAAGAUGGGCUUUUAUCGUAGAUAUGAGAUUGUCCAUCUACAUCAUGUCAUCUUGCUUAAGGUAUUACUCUGUUCUUUUGGACUUAAUACACUAGAUGCAUGCUGGAUAGCGGUCGACGUGUGGAGUAAUAUUAGUAGAUGCAGAAAGUAUCAGUCUACUUGUUUUGGACGUGAUGCCUAUAGAUAUAAUUAUUGCCUUAGAUAACGUCACGACUUUGCGCGGUUCUAUCAAUUGCUCGACAGUUAUUCGUUCACCCACCAUCUACUUGCUUUCAUGAGAGAAGCCACUAGUGAACACUACAGCCCCCGGGUCUAUUCGCAACUAUCGUUUCCACUUUCACUUUUACUUUGCUCUGUUUACUCUUUGAUUUCAGUUCUCACUUUGCAAACAAUCUAUAAGGGAUCGACAACCCCUUCAUAGCGUUGGGUGCAAGCUCUUUGUGUUUGUGUAGGUACUUGUGACUUGACGAGAUCUUCCAUUGGUUCGAUACCUUGGUUCUCAAAACUGUGGGAAAUACUUACCGCCGCUGUGCUACAUCACCCUUUCCUCUUCAAGGGAACACCAACGCAAGGCUCCAAGGCCGCUGGGAAAUCCUUUGCAUAUUUGCCAAGGAAGUCCCUAAAGGCGUAGCCGUAGUAGCAGGAUUCCUGUCGCCGUACCAGGGAAGAUCUGUUGUCGCAGUAGCAGGCACUGGCUGGGAUGAGGCUAGCCGUUGAAGUCUCGUGGGAGCUUCGGCUGGUCAAGGGAGACAAGACAAACAAGUGCUGUCAGCCUUGAGCUGAAGCUUGGAAUGGGGAUUUUGUCAUUUCUACUUUGAACCAGAGAGGGGCCACUUGGCUGGGGUUGUGCAUUGAUACUGGCCACCUAAUCUGAGAGUUUGGGGAAAAGGGUUGGGGUAUAGCUAUGGUUAGAGGGGCUUUUACCCAUCUGUUAGAAGGUGCUCGACGGUGGUUUGGGGUGGUUGCACCCCAUCACUAGUUCUGCAACUUAACAGGAUUGGGUUUGGUGCUAAAACAUGGGGUUUCACCAAGUUUGAGCUCCAUUGCACAAGUUUAGCUUUGUAAACUUGAAAACUUCACCAUUUGACCAGAUCCGUUCCUUCCAAAGAGAGUGUGGGCAAAUUAAGUCCGAGAAACCCCAUUUUUGGUGUGGAACCCUCAUUUGAGGUAUUAGGCCCUCCUGCAAAGUUUCUACUCCAUUGGACAAACUUUGCUAUGUAGAGUUGCUCUAAUUUUAAUGUGGACAUAAGGGGUUUUGCAGUUAUUUGGGGUCCCUAAUUACCUUGGAUCAAGGUGAAACUUUAUGUGGACACCAAAUAUGGCUUAGGGAUACCACUGGAAUUUUCUAGGAAUUUAUUGGGAAUAUUUCUUUGGAAAUAUUUCAAAAGGUCAAAACAGACAGAAAUGAUCUUUAUGGUUUUACUCAAAUAAUAUUAAUAUAAUUAGGGGUUAAAAAUCUUAUGCAUGGAAUAUAUAUGUCCUUGUGAUCAUCUCCCAAUUUAAUCAGAUUUUUCUAAGGCACAAAAGUAUUUUUCCAUAUAGGAGUACCAUUUCUGGCCUCAGAAAUAGACAAGCAAAUAAAUUAAGAAAACAAUUCACAAAAUAAUUAUUUUGUGAUUUUGGUGCACUAAAACAGAUCUAGAAUCAGAUCACCAACUUUGGGUGAGAACACUCCUUGCCAUCAAGGGCAUGUAGUGCAACUCAAAGUAGGGUUUUACCUUAACCAAAAAUCAGAAAAGGGUUUUGGAAAUUAUUUGAUCUUGGGAGAUGUGGUUUUUAUCAUUACAUGAUCAAUCAUACAAGCAUACAAUGACAAUCAUGGCACUCACAACAUUAGUUUUGAAAAAGUUUUAAUAAUCUCAGAUUUUUGAAUUACAGAAAAAGUGGUAGUGAAAACAGGGUGUGACAUACACAGAAAUGUGUACGACCAAGAUUAGGGAGUCAUGGGAAGAUAUCACAACACAACUCUAGACACAAAUUAAUUACAAAACAAGCUUCAUAUUACAAGCGAGGGCCUCGAGGGCUCGAAUACAAAAGCUUGGAAACACAUAGUGAGCAAAGUAACAAUAAUUGAGUAUAAACAGAAGAAACAAGUUUUUCCUUGGAGAAGGCUAGCACAAGAGAUACAUCGAUCGAAAGUAGCGAGGCCUCCUGCCUGGGAACCUCCUGAACUACUCCUGGUCAUCAAUGGCCUCCACGUAGCAGUAGGCACCGUCGGGUAGCAGUCGUCGUCAGCGGGAUACGCCAUAUCCUGGGCUCCAUCAUCUGGCCGCGACAAUCAUAUGAAGGGGCAAAGUGGGAGCAAAGCAAUGUUGAGUACUCAUCUAAAGUACUCGCAAGGCUGACAUCAGAACUAUGCUAAGUAUGCAUCCGUAUCAAAGGAAUGGGGUUGUAUCUGAACCGACUACAACAAUGUGAGGAUAGAGAGAAGGGACUAGUCCAAUAGAAGACUAGCAUCUUCACUGGCUUGCAACAUUAAAAGAUAGUAGAACAAUAAUACAUAUAUAGUCAUAUUGUUGCAGCAAAUUUAAUGAAGUCACGCACAGAGAUUCUUCCUUGACUCCCUGCAAGAAAGUGAUAUCGGGGCCAAACAUUCUAGUUAAGUCACACUUCUAGUUGUAUUAGAUCGGGAUGCAAUUCCAAGUCGUCCUGUAAGUGUGGGCUCUGCUAUUCGAAUAGUUAAUUUUCAUCCUUGCAGGGGUGCACCACACUAUCCAACACACUCGAUAAACUUUGGCCGGACACACUUUCCUGGGUCAUGCCUAGCCUCAGAAAAUCAACAUGUCGCAGCCCUACCUGGGCUCAACAAAGGGGCCAGCCCGUCAGUCUAAAUCCUAAGCACGCACGGGCCAUGGGUGUUGGGCAACGUUGCAUGCGAAACAAAAAAUUUCCUACGCACACGAAGACCUAUCAUGGUGAUGUCCAUCUACGAGAGGAGAUUUGGAUCUACGUAUCCUUGUAGAUCGCACAACAUGAAGCAUUAAGAAACACGGUUGAUGUAGUGGAACGUCUUCACGUCCCUCGAACCGUCCGACGAUCCGUUCCGAUCUAGUGCCCAAUGGACGGCACCUCCGUGUUGAGCACACGUAUAGCUCGACGAUGAUCUCGGCCUUCUUGAUCCAGAAAGCAAGAUGGAGAAGUAGAUGAGUUCUCCGGCAGCGUGACGAUGCUCCAGUGGUGGUGAUGAUCUACUCCUGCAGGGCUCCACCCGAGCUCCGCAGAAAUCCGAUCUAGAGGUAAAACUAUGUGGUCUAGGGUUGAGUUGCACGUGGCAAAAGUUGUCUCAAAUCAGCCCUAAAACACCACUAUAUAUAGGAGGGAGGGGGAGAGGCUUGCCUUGAGGGACAAGGACCUCAAGGGUGCGCCGGCGCUAGGAGGAGGAGGACUCCUCCUCGAAUUUGGUUUGGGAAGGAGGAGGAGUCCUCUUCCUUCCCACCUCCCAAUUUCCCUUUUCAUUUUAUUUUCUUUUUGGUAUUUCUUUAAGUGGCACCAAGGGCCCCUUGGGCUGACUUCACCAGCCCACUAGGGACAUGUGGCGCCACCCUAUGGCCUUGGGCUCACUCCCGGGUGGGUGGGCCCCUCCCGGUGAACUCCUAGAACCCAUUCGUCGCUCCUGGUACACUGCCGGAAUCGCUCGAAACUUUCCGGUAACCAAAUAAAACCAUCCUAUAUAUUAAUCUUCGUUUCCGGACCAUUCCAGAAACCCUCGUGACGUGUGUGAUCUCAUCUGGGACUCCGACCAACAUUCGAUAACCACACAUAUAACUCAACUAUACUAAAACAUCAUCGAACCUUAAGUGUGCAGACCCUGCGGGUUCGAGAACUAUGUAGACAUGACCCAGGGACCUGGAUGCCCAUAUUGGAUCCUACAUAUUCUCCGAAAUCUUAUCGGCUGAACCUCAGUGUCAAGGAUUCAUAUAAUCCCGUAUGUCACUCCCUUUGUCCUUCGGUAUGUUACUUGCCCGAGAUUCGAUCGUCGGUAUCCGCAUACCUAUUUCAAUCUCGUUACCGGCAAGUCUCUUUACUCAUUCCGUAAUACAAGAUCCCAUGACAUACACUUAGUCACAUUGCUUGCAAGGCUUGUGUGUGAUGUUGUAUUACCGAGUGGGCCCCGAGAUACCUCACCGUCACAUGGAGUGACAAAUCCCAUUCUUGAUCCAUACUAACUCAACGGGCACCUUCGGAGAUACGUGUAGAGCACCUUUAUAGUCACCCAGUUACGUUGUGACGUUUGAUGCACACAAGGUAUUCCUCCGGUGCGAGUGAGUUAUAUGAUCUCAUGGUCAUAGGAACAAAUACUUGACACGUAGAAAACAAAAGCAAUAAAACGACACGGUCAAUAUGCUAUGUUCAGAGUUUGGGUCUACUCCAUCACAUGAUUUUCCUAAUGAUGUGAUCCAGUUAUCAAGUGACAACACUUGCAUAUAGCCAGAAAACCUUGACUAUCAUUGAUCAAGUGGCUAGCCAACUAGAGGUUUGCUAGGGACAUUGUUUUGUCUAUUUAUCCACACAUGUAUCAAUGUUUUCAUUCAAUACAAUAAUAGCAUGGAUAAUAAACGAUUAUCUUUAUACAGGAAAUAUAAUAAUAAGAAUUUAUCAUUGCCUCUAGUGCAUAUGUCCAACAGUCUCCCACUUGCACUAGAGUCAAUAAUCUAGUCCUCACAUCGCCAUGCGAUUUACAUUGUAAUAAAUCGAACACCCAUACAGAUCUGGUGUUGAUCAUGUUUUUCCCAUGGAAGAGCUUUUGUUAGCGGGUCUGCUACAUUUAGAUCAGUGUGCACUUUGCAAAUAUUCACGUCCUCUCCUUCAACGUAGUCGCGGAUGAGGUUGAAGCGUCAUUUGAUGUGUCUGGUCUUCUUGUGAAACCUUGGUUCCUUUGCUAAGGCAAUGGCACCAGUGUUGUCACAUAACAGAGUUAUUGGAUUUAGUGCGCUUGGCACAACUCCAAGAUCUGUCAUGAACUGCUUCAUCCAGACACCCUCCUUUGCUGCCUUCGAGGCAGCCAUGUACUCUGCUUCACAUGUAGAAUCUGCUACGACGCUUUGUUUGGAACUGCACCAGCUUACCGCACCCUCAUUAAGAAUAAAUACGUAUCCGGUUUGCAACUUAGAGUCAUCCGGAUCGGUGUCAAAACUUGCGUCGACGUAACCUUUUACGACGAGAUCUUUGUCACCUCCACAAACGAGAAACAUUUCCUUAGUCCUUUUCAGGUACUUCAGAAUAUUCUUGACCGCUGUCCAGUGAUCCACUCCUGGAUUACUCUGAAACCUGCCUGCCAUACUUAUGGCCAAGCUGAUGUCUGGUCUAGUGCACAACAUUGCAUACAUGAUAGAACCUACGGCGGAAGCGUAGGGGACGUAACUCAUUUGUUCUCUAUCUUCCGAAGUUGCUGGGCACCGAGUCUUACUCAAUUUUAUACCUUGUAACAUAGGCAAGAACCCUUUCUUGGACUGAUCCAUUUUGAACUUCUUCAAAAUUUUAUCUAGGUAUGUGUUUUGUGAAUGUCCUAUCAGGCGUUUCGAUUUAUCCCUAUAGAUCUUAAUGCCUAGAAUGUAAGCAUCUUCUCCUAGGUCCUUCAUAGAGAAACUUUUAUUCAAGUAAUCCUUUAUGCUCUCCAAAAGCUCCACGUUGUUUCUAAUCAGCAAUAUGUCAUCCACAUAUAAUAUUAGAAACGCCACAAUGCUCCCACUCACUUUCUCAUAAAUACACGAUUCUCCAACCACUUGUAUAAACCCAAAUGCUUUGAUCACCUCAUCAAAGCGCUUAUUCCAACUCCGAGAUGCUUGCACCAGUCCAUAAAUGGAUCGCUGGAGCUUGCAUACUUUGUUAGCAUUCUUUCGAUCGACAAAACCUUCGGGUUGCAUCAUAUACAACUCUUCCUUAAGAAAACCGUUAAGGAACGCCGUUUUGACAUCCAUCUGCCAGAUUUCAUAAUCGAAAAAUGCAGCUAUUGCUAACAUGAUUCGGACGGACUUAAGCAUCGCUACCGGUGAGAAUGUCUAAUCGUAGUCAAUUCCUUCAACUUUUGAAAAACCGUUUUCCACAAGUCGAGCUUUAUAAACGGUCACAUUAACGGUUGCGUCCGUCUUCUUCUUAAAGAUCCAUUUGUUCUGGAUAGCCUUGCGGCCUUCAGGUAGUACCUCCAAAGUCCAUACUUUGUUCUCGUACAUAGAUCCUAUCUCAGACUUCAUUGCCUCCAACCAUUUGUUGGAAUCUGGGUCCACCAUUGCUUCUUCAUAAUUUGCAGGUUCAUUGUUGUGUAACAACAUAAUUGAUAAGACAGGAUUACCGUACUACUCAAGAGCAGUACAUGAUCUUGUCAACCUAUGAGAUCCGAUAGGAACUUGAUCCGAAGUUUCGUGAUCAUCAUCAUCAACUUCCUCCUCAACUGGUGCCGCAGCAACAUCGGUUUCUCCUUGUCGUGCGCCACCAGCUAGAGGGACUAGUGGUUCAACAACCUCAUCAAGUUCUAUCUUCCUCCCACUCAAUUCUUUUGAGAGAAACUCCUUCUCAAGAAAAGCUCCAUUUUAGCAACAAACACUUUGCCCUCGGAUUUGGGAUAGAAGGUAUACCCAACUGUCUCUUUUGGGUAACCUACGAAGACACACUUUUCCGCUUUGGGUUCCAGCUUUUCAGGCGGAAGCUUUUUGACAUAAGCAUCACAUCCCCAAACUUUAAGAAAUGACAACUUUGAUCUUUUCCAUACCACAGUUCGUAUGGUGUCGUCUCAAUGGAUUUUUAUGGUUCCCUAUUUAAAGUGAAUGCAACUAUCUCUAAUGCAUAACCCCAAAACGAUAACGGCAAAUCGGUAAGAGACAUCAUAGAUCGCACCACCUCUAAUAAAGUACGAUUACGACGUUUGGACACACCAUCACGCGGUGGGGUUCCAGGCGGUGUCAACUGUGAAACAAUUCCACAUUGUCUUAAGUGAGCACCAAGCACGAAACUCAUAUAUUCACCCCCACGAUCAGACCGUAGGAACUUGAUCUUCUUGUUAUGAUGAUUUUGAACUUCACUAUGAAAUUGCUUGAACUUCUCAAACGUUUCAGACUUGUGCUUCAUCAAGUUGACAUAACCAUAUCCACUCAAAUCGUCAAUGAAGUUGAGAAAAUAAUGUUAUCCGCCGCGCAUCUCCACACUCAUCGGACCGCACACAUUGGUAUGUAUGAUUUCCAACAAGUCACUUGCACGCUCCAUUGUUCCGGAGAACGGGGUCUUAGUCAUCUUGCCCAUGAGGCAUGGUUCACACUUGGCAAGUGAAUCAAAGUCAAGUGACUCCAAAAGUCCAUCGGAAUGGAGUUUCUUCAUGCGCUUUACACCAAUAUGACGUAACCGGCAGUGCCACAAAAACAUGGCGCUAUCAUUGUUAACUUUAACUCUUUUGGUGUCAAUGUUAUGUAUCGCUAUCAAGAUUCAAUAUGAACAAUCCGCUCACAUUCGAUGCAUGACGAUAAAACAUAUUACUCAUAGAAAUAGAACAACCAUUAUUCUCUGACUUAAACGAGUAACAGUCUCGCAAUAAACAAGAUCCUGAUAUAAUGUUCAUGCUUAAAGCAGUCACUGAAUAACAAUUAUUUAAGUUCCUAACUAAUCUUGAUGGUAACUGAAGUGAAACUGUGCCGACGGCGAUUGCAUCAACCUUGGAACCAUUUCCCACGCGCAUCGUCACUUCAUCUUUCGCCAGCCUUCGCUUAUUCCGCAGUUCCUUGUUUGAGUUGCAAAUAUGAGGAACAGAACCGGUAUCGAAUACUCAGGCACUACUACGAGAGUUGGUUAAGUACACAUCAAUAACAUGUAUAUCGAAUAUACCUGAUUUUUCCUUGGCCGCCUUCUUAUCAACCAGAUACUUGGGGCAGUUGUGCUUCUAGUGACCCAUACCCUUGCAAUAAUAACACUCCGUUUCAGGCUUAGGUCCAGCCUUGGGUUUCUUCGUCAGAUUGGCAACAGGCUUCCAUCUCUUCUUGGAAUUACCCUUCUUUCCUUUGCCAUUUCUCUUGAAACUAGUGGUCUUAUUCACCAUCAACACUUGAUGCUCUUUACAGACUUCUGGAUCUGCGACUUUCAGCAUCGCGAAAAACUCGCCGGGUGACUUGUUCAUCCCUUGCAUGUUAUAGUUCAACACAAAGCUCUUGUAGCUUGGUGGCAGUGAUUGAAGAAUUCUAUCAGUGAUAGCGUCUUGCGGGAGUUCAAUCCCAACUCAGCUAGAUGGUUUGAGUACCCAGACAUUUUGAGCACAUGUUCACUGACAGAAGAAUUAUCCUCCAUCUUGCAAGCAUAGAAUUUAUCGGAGGUCUCAUACCUCUUGAUCUGGGCAUUCUUCUGAAAGAUAAACUUCAACUCCUAGAAUAUCUCAUAUGCUCCAUGACGCUCAAAGCGACGUUGAAGUCCCGGCUCUAAGCCAUACAAGACUGCACAUUGAACGACUGAGUAGUCCUCCUUGCAUGUUAACCAAGCGUUCUUAACAUCUUGGUCACCCGCAGUGGGUGGUUCAUCUCCUAGCGCAACAUUAAGGACAUAAUCCUUCUUCCCAGCUUGCAGGAGCAACUUAAGAUUACGAGCCCAGUCUACAAAGUUGCUUCCAUCAUCUUGCAACUUAGCUUUCUCUAGGAACGUAUUAAAAUUCAGGGUGACUGUCGCGUGAGCCAUUGAUCUACAACACAAAUAUUUCAAAGUGGACUUAGACUAUGUUCAAGAUAAUUAGAGUUUAACUAAUCAAAUUACUAGCUAAACUCCCACUCAAAAAGUACAUCUCUCUAGUCACUUGAGUGGUACAUGAUCCAGAUAUAACUCAACUAUACCAAAACAUCAUCGAACCUUAAGUGUGCAGACCCUGCGGGUUCGAGAACUAUGUAGACAUGCCACGAGGCACUCCUUGGUAAAUAUUCAAUAGCGGUACCUGGAUGCCCAUAUUGGAUCCUACAUAUUCUCCGAAGAUCUUAUCGGUCGAACCUCGCUGUCAAGGAUUCAUAUAAUCUCGUAUGUCAUUUCCUUUGUCCUUCGGUAUGUUACUUGCCCGAUAUUCGAUCGUCGUUAUCCGCACAACUAUUUCAAUCUUGUUACCGGCAAGUCUCUUUACUCGUUUCGUAAUACAAGAUCCCAUGACUUACACUUAGUCACAUUGCUUACAAGGCUUGUGUGUGAUGUUGUAUUAUCGAGUGGGCCCCGAGAUACCUCUCCGUCACACGGAGUGACAAAUCCCAUUCUUGAUCUAUACUAACUCAACGGACACCUUCGGAGAUACCUGUAGAGCACCUUUAUAGUCACCUAGUAACGUUGUGACGUUUGAUGCACACAAGGUAUUCCUCUGGUGCGAGUGAGUUAUAUGAUCUCAUGGUCAUAGGAACAAAUACUUGACACGCAGAAAACAAUAGCAAUAAACGACACGAUCAAUAUGCUACGUUCAUAGUUUGGGUCUAGUCCAUCACAUGAUUCUACUAAUGAUGUCAUCCAGUUAUCAAGUGACAACACUUGCAUACUGCCAGAAAACAUUGACUAUCAUUGAUCAACUAGCUAGCCAACUAGAGGCUUGCUAGGGACAUUGUUUUGUCUAUUUAUCCACACAUGUAUCUAUGUUUUCAUUCAAUACAAUUAUAGCAUGGAUAAUAAACGAUUAUCUUUAAACAGGAAAUAUAAUAAUAACUAUUUAUCAUUGCCUCUAGGGCAUAUUUCCAACAAUGGGCCCAUCACCCUUUGCACUCCUACAUGAUGUGAGGGUGACCAAGGUCAGUCCUAGCACCUCUAAUAUAAGAUCAAUGCUACACAGACCAGUCGGGCUUGCACCGCUCCAUGGCUGACGUGUGAAGAGCUACGGCUGAUACUACAAUGUCGACUACCCAUAACUUCUCCCACGUGAAGAUUAGUGCAAAAAGGUCAUCGACCAACUCAGAUCAAA